UGGGGAAUAUUGCACAAUGGGCGCAAGCCUGAUGCAGCCAUGCCGCGUGUGUGAAGAAGGCCUUCGGGUUGUAAAGCACUUUCAGCGAGGAGGAAGGUGGUGGACUUAAUACGUUCAUCAAUUGACGUUACUCGCAGAAGAAGCACCGGCUAACUCCGUGCCAGCAGCCGCGGUAAUACGGAGGGUGCAAGCGUUAAUCGGAAUUACUGGGCGUAAAGCGCACGCAGGCGGUUUGUUAAGUCAGAUGUGAAAUCCCCGGGCUCAACCUGGGAACUGCAUUUGAAACUGGCAAGCUAGAGUCUCGUAGAGGGGGGUAGAAUUCCAGGUGUAGCGGUGAAAUGCGUUGAGAUCUGGAGGAAUACCGGUGGCGAAGGCGGCCCCCUGGACGAAGACUGACGCUCAGGUGCGAAAGGCGUGGGGGAGCAAACAGGAUUAGAUACCCUGGUAGUCCACGCUGUAAACGAUGUCGAUUUUGGAGGUUGUGCCCUUGAGGCGUGGCUUCCGGAGCUAACGCGUUAAAUCGACCGCCUGGGGAGUACGGCCGCAAGGUU
rnacentral:rRNA from 1 species